rnacentral:rRNA from 1 species
CCUACGGGUGGCAGCAGUGGGGAAUUUUGGACAAUGGGGGCAACCCUGAUCCAGCAAUGCCGCGUGAGUGAAGAAGGCCUUCGGGUUGUAAAGCUCUUUCGGCCGGGACGAAAUCGCUCUGGUGAAUAUCCAGGGUGGAUGACGGUACCGGAACAAGAAGCACCGGCUAACUACGUGCCAGCAGCCGCGGUAAUACGUAGGGUGCGAGCGUUAAUCGGAAUUACUGGGCGUAAAGCGUGCGCAGGCGGUUUUGUAAGUCAGACGUGAAAGCCCCGGGCUUAACCUGGGAAUUGCGUUUGAAACUGCAAGGCUAGAGUACGGCAGAGGGGGGUAGAAUUCCACGUGUAGCAGUGAAAUGCGUAGAUAUGUGGAGGAAUACCGAUGGCGAAGGCAGCCCCCUGGGCUAGUACUGACGCUCAUGCACGAAAGCGUGGGGAGCAAACAGGAUUAGAUACCCUUGUAGUC